GUCAAGUCAGCAUGACCUUUAUAUCCAGGGCUACACACACGCUACAAUGGUACUGGUACAAUGGGUAGCCAAGGCCGCGAGGCGGAGCCAAUCCUGAAAGCAGGCCUCAGUUCAGAUUGCAGUCUGCAACUCGACUGCAUGAAGCCGGAGUUGCUAGUAACCGCAGGUCAGCAAUACUGCGGUGAAUACGUUCCCGGGUCUU
rnacentral:rRNA from 1 species